CAUCAUGGGUUCCCAACAAAAUGCAUUCAUAUUUCGCCUUUUACUAAAGAUUUCCGUGGAAAGUAACAACUCGAUGAAUCAAAGAAUUUUUUUUUUUUUUUAUUGUAUUCAGUUGA